rnacentral:rRNA from 1 species
GACUACUGGGGUAUCUAAUCCUGUUUGCUCCCCACGCUUUCACGCCUUAGCGUCAGUAAUGUUCCAGGAGAUCGCCUUCGCUUUUGAUAUUCCUAGUGAUAUCUACGGAUUUUACCCCUACACCACUAAUUCCAUCUCCCCCUCCCAUACUCUAGGUUGCCAGUUUCAAGUGCAGUUCUACAGUUAAGCUGUAGGAUUUCACACCUGACUUGACAACCCGCCUACGCGUCCUUUACGCCCAGUGAUUCCGAGUAACGCUUGCACCCUCCGUAUUACCGCGGCUGCUGGCACGGAGUUAGCCGGUGCUUAUUCAUAUGCUACCGUCAUUUUCUUGACAUAUAAAAGGAGUUUACACACCGAAAUGCGUCAUCCUCCACGCGGCGUUGCUGCAUCAGGGUUUCCCCCAUUGUGCAAUAUUCCUCACUGCAGCCCCCCGUAGG